rnacentral:rRNA from 1 species
GAUGAACGCUAGCUACAGGCUUAACACAUGCAAGUCUAGGGGAAACGCCAUCGAAAGCUUGCUUUUGAUGGGCGUCGACCGGCGCACGGGUGAGUAACGCGUAUCCAACCUGCCCAUCACUUGGGAAUAACCUUGCGAAAGUAAGACUAAUACCCAAUGACAUCCCACGAAGACAUCUGAAUGGGAUUAAAGAUUUAUCGGUGAUGGAUGGGGAUGCGUCUGAUUAGCUUGUUGGCGGGGUAACGGCCCACCAAGGCAACGAUCAGUAGGGGUUCUGAGAGGAAGGUCCCCCACAUUGGAACUGAGACACGGUCCAAACUCCUACGGGAGGCAGCAGUGAGGAAUAUUGGUCAAUGGGCGAGAGCCUGAACCAGCCAAGUAGCGUGCAGGAGGACGGCCCUAGGGGUUGUAAACUGCUUUUAUAAGGGAAUAAAGUGGGUCUCGUGAGACUUUUUGCAUGUACCUUAUGAAUAAGGACCGGCUAAUUCCGUG